rnacentral:misc_RNA from 1 species
GAAGGUGUGGCCAUCGCAAUUGUAAGUGAACUUGUUGUUGGUGGCGGGAAGCUUCUGAAGGCACUGGGAGGCUAUACUGGUGAAAUUGCCGGUGAAUUCCGUAUACUCUGCGAGAAUUACAGUCCCGCGGGCAACGAAACUGUAGAUCAAAGAUUGUUGCCCCAUGGAAGAAGAUGAAUCUUGCCCUAAUUCGAAACGGAGGAGAAU